UUGCAGCCAUAUCAGGUUGAAACACCGGUUCUCGUACGAUCACUGAAGUUAAGCAACGUUGAGCGAGGUCUUUAUCUAGAUGGGUGGCUGCUUGGGUGUACCUGGUGCUGUAAG